CAACGAGCGCAACCCUUACCCUUAGUUGCCAUCACUUAUGGUGGGCACUCUAAGGGGACUGAAAGGGGACAACCCGGACCACAGGUGGGGAGGAAGUCAAGUCCUCAUGGCCUUUAUGUCCAGGGCUACACACGUGCUACAAUGGGUGGUACAAAGGGAAGCGAAGCCGCGAGGUGGAGCCAAUCCCAAAAAGCCACUCUCAGUUCGGAUUGCAGGCUGCAACUCGCCUGCAUGAAGUUGGAAUCGCUAGUAAUCCUGGAUCAGCACGCCAGGGUGAAUACGUUCCCGGGUCUUGUACACACCGCCCGUCACAUCACGAAAGUCGGCUGCACUUGAAGAGGGUGGGCUAACCCGCAAGGGAGGCAGCUCUCCAUAGUGUGGCUGGCGAUUGGGGUGAAGUCGUAACAAGGUAACC
rnacentral:rRNA from 1 species